GUGGCUAUGGUGUAGUGGUAGCACGGAAGAUUGUGGUUCUUUUAGCACGGGUUCGAAUCCCGUUAGCCACCCCA
rnacentral:tRNA from 1 species